rnacentral:rRNA from 1 species
UUCCGGUUGAUCCUGCCGGACCUGACUGCUAUCGGAUUGAUACUAAGCCAUGCGAGUCUUUGUAGUAAUACAAGGCAGACGGCUCAGUAACACGUAGUCAACCUACCCUAUGGACAAGAAUAAUCUCGGGAAACUGGGCAUAAUUCUUGAUAGAUCAUAAUGCCUGGAAUGGUUUAUGGUUAAAAUGAUUCGUCGCCAUAGGAUGGGACUGCGGCCUAUCAGCUUGUUGGUGAGGUAAUGGCCCACCAAGGCGAUUACAGGUACGGGCUCUGAGAGGAGAAGCCCGGAGAUGGGUACUGAGACACGGACCCAGGCCCUAUGGGGCGCAGCAGGCGAGAAAACUUUGCAAUGUGCGAAAGCACGACAAGGUUAAUCCGAGUGAUUUCUGCUAAAGAAAUCUUUUGCCAGUCAUAAAACCACUGGUGAAUAAGGGGUGGGCAAGUUCUGGUGUCAGCCGCCGCGGUAAAACCAGCACCUCAAGUGGUCAGGAUGAUUAUUGGGCCUAAAGCAUCCGUAGCCGGCUUUGUUAGUUUUCGGUUAAAUCCAUGUGCUCAACGCAUGGGCUGCCGAAAAUACUGCAUAGCUAGGGAGUGGGAGAGGUAGACGGUACUCAGUAGGAAGGGGUAAAAUCCUUUGAUCUAUUGAUGACCACCUGUGGCGAAGGCGGUCUACCAGAACACGUUCGACGGUGAGGGAUGAAAGCUGGGGGAGCAAACCGGAUUAGAUACCCGGGUAGUCCCAGCUGUAAACGAUGCAGACUCGAUGAUGCAUUGGCAUAAUAGCCAGUGCAGUGUCGCAGGGAAGCCGUUAAGUCUGCCGCCUGGGAAGUACGUACGCAAGUAUGAAACUUAAAGGAAUUGGCGGGGGAGCACCACAAGGGGUGAAGCCUGCGGUUCAAUUGGAGUCAACGCCGGG